AUAGCGCUAAGGCUGAGAGCCAAGUGGAGGAAGAAGUGAAUGCGCAGGCUGAAGCUCAAAAGAAGAAAGAUGAGGCAGAGGUCCAAGUAAACCGCAAGCUGUGCACCGGGGAAGCCACAGGAGCAG